UACGUAGGGUGCGAGCGUUGUCCGGAAUUAUUGGGCGUAAAGAGCUCGUAGGCGGUUUGGCAAGUCGGGUGUGAAAACUCCGGGCUCAACUCGGAGACGCCACUCGAUACUGCCAUGACUUGAGUCCGGUAGGGGAGUGCGGAAUUCCGGGUGGAGCGGUGAAAUGCGUAGAGAUCCGGAGGAACACCGACGGCGUAGGCAGCGCCCCUGGACGACACCUGACGCUGAGGCACGAAAGCUGGGGGAGCGAACAGG
rnacentral:rRNA from 1 species